UACAGAGGGUGCAAACGUUGCUCGGAAUCAUUGGGCGUAAAGCGCACGUAGGCGGCCUAGCAAGUAGGGAGUGAAAGCCCUCGGCUUAACCGAGGAAGUGCUUUCUAAACUACUAGGCUUGAAUACUGGAGAGGGUCGCGGAAUUCCCGGUGUAGAGGUGAAAUUCGUAGAUAUCGGGAGGAACACCAGUGGCGAAGGCGGCUCACUGGCCCGGAACUGACGCUGAGACGCGAAAGCGUGGGGAGCAAACAGG
rnacentral:rRNA from 1 species